CAGAUGUAGUUCAAUGGUAGAACCCUAGCCUUCCAAGCUAGCUACGUGAGUUCGAUUCUCAUCAUCUG
rnacentral:tRNA from 1 species